UGCGGAAGGAUCAUUACCGAGUUUUCGAGCUCCGGCUCGACUCUCCCACCCUUUGUGAACGUACCUCUGUUGCUUUGGCGGCUCCGGCCGCCAAAGGACCUUCAAACUCCAGUCAGUAAACGCAGACGUCUGAUAAACAAGUUAAUAAACUAAAACUUUCAACAACGGAUCUCUUGGUUCUGGCAUCGAUGAAGAACGCAGCGAAAUGCGAUAAGUAAAUGUGAAUUGCAGAAUUCAGUGAAUCAUCGAAUCUUUGAACGCACAUUUGCGCCCCUUGGGUAUUUCCCGGGGGGCAUGGCCUGUUUCGAGCGGUCAUUUACAACCCUCAAGCUCUGCUUGGAAUUGGGCACCGUCCUCACUGCGGACGCGCCUCAAAGACCUCGGCGGUGGCUGUUCAGCCCUCAAGCGUAGUAGAAUACACCUCGCUUUGGAGCGGUUGGCGUCGCCCGCCGGACGAACCUUCUGAACUUUUCUCAAGGUUGACCUCGGAUCAGGUAGGGAUACCCGCUGAACUUAAGCAUAU
rnacentral:rRNA from 1 species